rnacentral:lncRNA from 1 species
UCCACUCCUCUAGAAGGAAAUAAAAACCCUAACGUGACAAAAGAUUCCUAGUGGGUGAUGCAGUCCCAUCGAUGACAUGCACCUCACCUAACAGUUAUUGGUAGCAUGCACACUGAUGCGUAGGCAACUCUUUGCCUAGAUGCUUCACUAAGCAUGUUGCAGCCACUUGGUCUAUAAGUCAUGUGGGCUCACCUAACAGUUAUUGCCCAUACUUAUUAGUUAAGCCUGACCUACCAUUCACAAGUAGGUGUAAGGCCAUCAUUGGAUCUCUCACCUAACAAUUAUUAGACCCAACCCCA